UACGUAGGUGGCAAGCGUUUGUCCGGAAUUAUUGGGCGUAAAGCGCGCGCAGGUGGUUUCUUAAGUCUGAUGUGAAAGCCCACGGCUCAACCGUGGAGGGUCAUUGGAAACUGGGGAACUUGAGUGCAGGAGAGAAGAGUGGAAUUCCACGUGUAGCGGUGAAUGCGUAGAGAUGUGGAGGAACACCAGUGGCGAAGGCGACUCUUUGGCCUGUAACUGACACUGAGCGCGAAAGCGUGGGAGCAA
rnacentral:rRNA from 1 species